rnacentral:rRNA from 1 species
GAUGAACGCUGGCGGCGUGCCUAAUACAUGCAAGUCGAGCGAACGGACGAGAAGCUUGCUUCUCUGAUGUUAGCGGCGGACGGGUGAGUAACACGUGGAUAACCUACCUAUAGGACUGGGAUAACUUCGGGAAACCGGAGCUAAUACCGGAUAAUAUUUUGAACCGCAUGGUUCAAAAGUGAAAGACGGUCUUGCUGUCACUUAUAGAUGGAUCCGCGCUGCAUUAGCUAGUUGGUAAGGUAACGGCUUACCAAGGCAACGAUGCAUAGCCGACCUGAGAGAGUGAUCGGCCACACUGCAACUGAGACACGGUCCAGACUCCUACGGGAGGCAGCAGUAGGGAAUCUUCCGCAAUGGGCGAAAGCCUGACGGAGCAACGCCGCGUGAGUGAUGAAGGUCUUCGGAUCGUAAAACUCUGUUAUUAGGGAAGAACAUAUGUGUAAGUAACUGUGCACAUCUUGACGGUACCUAAUCAGAAAGCCACGGCUAACUACGUG